AAUGCCUUUUCAGAAGACAGAGCAACAAGAGAAACACCCUUAAGGGCCCGACGAAACCUUGUAAAACAUACCUUUUCAGAAAAAGCUUCUGCCAUAUACUACAACCAUCUAAUAUUGAAACAAGUAAAAUAACGCAAAACUGUGAAAGAUAAUGGCUUAUUAAUUGUCUAUCAAUAUGGUAAAUAAUUCUUUCCUAAAUGUCAUCUUUCAAUAUUUUAGUACUGUAUGUGAUUCCACUGAUGCAUUUUGAAAUGUCGGCUAUUACUGAGUAUACAAAACCGUUGAAUAAAAUAAUCAAAUGUGAGGCUCCGCAAACGUCAUAAUGUUAUAACACGACUAUAAAACCUGUAAUAGAUUUAUUUCUCUCCGACGACGUGAAAUAUGUCGCAAAAUAAUUUAAAUCAUAUGGGUGUAUGUGUACGUAUAGUAAAUCUACUUCAAAAGAUAUGCUAUAAAAUGAUCACUAAAAGGCUUAAGCAUAUUUAUGCUUUAAUAUAAGUUAAUGAACAAGCAGCUCUUAAUUUGAUAAACGAGCAUGCGGUCUGGCCUCUCUAAUAUGUUUAUCAAAACAAUUAUCACGGAGUUUGCAAUGAAAAUUGUUUCUCUCUAUUCAAUUUUAACUCAAGUUUAUACCAUACCUAGAUAUUCCAGUUUUGAUUUUGGAGGAAUAUACAAGAUGCUAAAAUCAGGCAUUAUUUCAUACAUGUGCGGAUACUGGGUAGAACCACAGACCUUCGGCAGGCUCGAACCCUCAACGAUUAAUGGUAAAUGAUUUGCAGAUUGCGACCUUUGCCAUAACAUUACUAAGAUCCUUUCAAUAAAUUCAGUACAACUAUGAACAUUUCAAAUUUAAGUACAGUACAAAAACUAGAGCUUGCUUUAUCCCAAUUUAACUUGAAAAAUGAAAAGGCAAAGAAAUAUUGCUUACAGCCUUUGCACAUACCAGUUUGAUACCAAUAAUAUAUACCAUCAUUUAGGAGUACUCGGUUGUGUUGCAUACAAGAGACGGAGAACUUAUUGAGGAAAAUAUAACAGUCACAGAAACGGAGGAGGAUAUCACACUGAAAAAUGGAACUCGAUUUAUAUAUGAUUUCGAAAGGGGACUCGUGGUGGUGAGGGAUGAAGAAAACGAAGCCCAAAGUACUUGUUACAUGGCAACUUUUGAAAGAAAAAGCUUAGUGGCACCGCCUUCUGAUGGAUUUCGAUCAAAGAUAGGGGAAAAUGUUGAUACCGAAGAGGUUGACUAUUAUGUUGAUAGAAAUGCCAAUGUUGAGGGUAAAGUUUUGUCUGAAAGCGCUCAAAACAUGUGUGCCGAUAUCAACAUUUAUUUCAUGACGACUAAUCCAGCAGAUAUGAAAAUUGGGAGACGAAAAAGAGGAAUUUCCUAUAGCAGUAAAUCAUGCGGGAGUUCCUUAUACCAUACCAGGACUGGCUGGAAAUACUUAUUCAUCUGUUUUUACAAUCCAACAAUCAUAGAAAAACAUAUAUACAUUGCAAAUAGUAGAUCAAUAAAACCCAAGAACGAUCUGUAUCACUAACAGGCGUGUACAUGUCUAUUAAUUGCGCAGACAACAUGGAAGAAAACUGUUAGAAUUUAUUAUGUGUUUUCAAGAAGUUAUAAAAAGGCUAGUUCAACAGUCAUUCAGAGGUGAAUCGGAUACUUAAGUCCCCUUUGAGGGACUGUUCAUACUUGUUAAAAGAUAUUUGAUCAAAUUCGAACGAUAUCAUCACAUCACGAAAGAACACCUAUUAAAUGCGUCCGUAUUAGAAAAAUAUAACAUUUUUAUAUAUACAGCAUGUAUUUAUUCACAUAUUCUAAUUCAUAUAGAUAUUUAAUAUUAUGAUAGUUACAGUUAGAAUGAGAGUUAUUACAAAUACAAUGUUUGUUGGGGGAGAAGGGGGUUUGGUGGAAUUAUCCAUAUUUCAUACAGGUAGACUUAUUUAUUUAAGAUGAUGUUUAAAUGAAAAGAACAUCAGAUAACAUAUAUUCAGAUAUUCCAUAAUCAAGUUUUCUUUCAUUGUAAUAGAUAUUUCAUUGCAGCAGGGACCUUAGCUACACUCUCUUACGCUUAAUUUAUAAAUUCUUUGUCUUUAAAUAAGUAAUACUUUAUUUAAGAUGAAUGUCUCAUGUAUGUUUUGAAUAGAUAUACUAUUUCUUUUGAAGAAUUGCCACAUUUUACCACUUAAGAAUUGGAUGUAUAAUAAAAGAAGAUUUUCUACCUAAAUUCGCUUUUUGAAAAUUAUGUUUUUCAUGUAUGAAAAAUCAAUAUUUAACAAAAACUUCCUAUAUACAUCAUAAAUAUAAGCCUUUACCAUAUGAAAAUAUAAACGAGUGUGUCUUAGUAAGUAAGGAAAAACAGGUUUAUUUGAGAGCCAGAAUGAAUAUAUAACGGCAUACUUAUUGAAAUACGGCAGUCAUUUUGAAAUUCAAGAUGGCCACAGUUUUAACGAUAUGCAAAUGUAUGAUAACUUUGGUUUGAUGUUUUGUUAAAAGUUGUUUCAUUCAACUAGUGUUACUGAAUAAACUGCAGCAUAAUUCGUAAGUCAGCGGUCAUGUUCAUAGUAAUUUUAUGCAGUGCUCAAUAGUUUGCAUUGUCCGAUGAAACUUGUAUAUAUCUACCAGAACUAUUUUAAAUACUACUAGCAAUAGUGUUGUUUCGCUAAAAUACCUAUUUUUGCUUGUGAAUUUAUUAAACAGUGUUACUGAAAUGCAGUAUUUACGCAGUCAAGAAUAAUUCUUUAGCCAGCAGUCAUGUUCACAGCAAUUUGAUGCCAUGCUCAACAAUAAUCAGUGUCCACAUAAAUGCCAACAAUAUUCAAAAUACUAUGUAUUAGCAAUACUGAUAUCAGACAAAUGCGGAAGGUAACUUAUUUCCCCAACUGACAUUACAUUACUUUAAGCGAGUUGAUAGAACUUUUGCUAAAUAUAUAAAUCAACAUGUACGAGAAAUAUCUUUGCAAUAUUUUUACUGCCAAAGUGAAAAAAAGCACCAAAGUCAUUGUACAUUGUAUGGAGAAAAUCCUGUUCGUAAGUUCCCCAAAUUUUAGCGAAUAUAGCACAGGAGUUCAUAACAAUGUAUUAGGACAGCUUAGACUGUAACAUUGAUUAAAUCAUAAUACCCAAUAGGAACAGGUAUAUUUCGAGUCGAGAACAUAUGCCCUUCAGACCAAAACCUUCAUCAGUAUAUAAAAGGAUAUAUUAAGUUAAGUCUUGCACCAUAUCCUUGACAUCUGAGCUGUCGACAUGUGCUCUGUAUGCGGCGCAUUGUCUUGUAGUUGUGAUCACCUGUGCAAGUUAUUGCAAAAUCCGACCAUUUACUAUAACGUUCUUGUUUACAUGAGCAUCUUCUAUUUCAAUAAUGUGCAUGUACUAGUAUUCAGAAGAAAGAAUAGAAGCUGCAAACAGUCUUGCACCAUGAUCAUGACUUAAGACCUCGCGAAACAGCUCAUGCACGGGUUACAGCAUCCUGUUAUGGUGAUCACAUGUGCAAAGAGACUUUGAAAUCCAACCAUGCACGGCAGAGUUUACACACGCACGCAUGGAGCAGAAUAAUGUUUUUGGAGUCCAAAUUUGGCUGUUUGCGAAUUUUAUGUUAUGUAACAAAAUAUAAUCGAAACCUUUCCCAUUCGCACAUGGUUACCUUGCGCAGUGGCCGGGUAGUUAUCUCCACAGACUUCGAAUCUCUUGCCUCUCAUCAUCAUUCGUUCAAAACCACGUUCGAGUUGUAGAAUUCUUUCAUUUCAGGACACAAUUAAGCUGGC